rnacentral:rRNA from 1 species
AUUGAACGCUGGCGGCAGGCCUAACACAUGUAAGUCGAGCGGAUGAAGGGAGCUUGCUCCUGGAUUCAGCGGCGGACGGGUGAGUAAUGCCUAGGAAUCUGCCUGGUAGUGGGGGAUAACGUCCGGAAACGGGCGCUAAUACCGCAUACGUCCUGAGGGAGAAAGUGGGGGAUCUUCGGACCUCACGCUAUCAGAUGAGCCUAGGUCGGAUUAGCUAGUUGGUGGGGUAAAGGCCUACCAAGGCGACGAUCCGUAACUGGUCUGAGAGGAUGAUCAGUCACACUGGAACUGAGACACGGUCCAGACUCCUACGGGAGGCAGCAGUGGGGAAUAUUGGACAAUGGGCGAAAGCCUGAUCCAGCCAUGCCGCGUGUGUGAAGAAGGUCUUCGGAUUGUAAAGCACUUUAAGUUGGGAGGAAGGACAGUAAGUUAAUACCUUGCUGUUUUGACGUUACCAACAGAAUAAGCACCGGCUAACUUCGUG